ensembl:lncRNA
CCUCGCACCUCCAGAGCUGGGGGUUCAAUUCCCAUCUCUGCCCUUGUUUGCGGAGUCUGUAUGUUCUCCCUCUGAUUUGGGGGUUUCCUCCAGGUACUCCAGUGUCCUCCCCCAGUCCAAAGACAUGCGUUGUAGGCUGAAUGGCAUUUCCAAAUUGUCUGUGUGUUGUGUGUGUGUGUGUGUGUGUGUGUGUGUGUGUUAGGGAUGUCACAAGAACCGAUACUUCGGUACCAACAUUCUUAAAACGUGACGGUACUUGGUUUUUGUGCAGUAGCGUAGGUACCGUUGGUAAUGGAAGGUACUGAGGUUGCAAUUCUUUCGGAACUGAAGGGGGCAGCAAAUACGCGCAAGUGUUUUAGUCGGUCCACAAGUGUUGAAGAAGAAGAAUGCCUACAAGCACACGGGAAAAACUACAGAAGACGACGACAAUUUUAGCUCCGCCCCGACUCGUUGAGAGGAAAGGUAGCAUCAGUUGCCGGUGUGCAACCAAUGCUAUCGUUCAUUUCAAACAAAGCGAGGAAACACCUGGAAUUUGGCGAAAUACCUGAAAGAGAGUCCCUAUAUUAUGUUUGUUUGAGGCAGCUGACAUUGUUGCCAUGAAACAAGCUAACGUAAUGUUUGUGAUAGUAUCAUUAACAAAUAACAGGCUAACACACUGCGAUGUUAUACACUACCUCCGAAUGGGCCACCAUGCAUCCUGUCAGCCAAAUGUAGCCUAAUGUCACUAAUAAUUAUUCAAAUGUUAAGGCUUUUAAUAAAUCUUUUUGGCCUGCCACCAUAUCAGUGAAUUUAAACUAAUGCUUGCAUUCAGAGUAUAAGAGGUGUGUGUGUGUGUGUGUGUGUGUGUGUGUGUGUGCGUGCACCUUAACUCUUGUUAUUACCACUUAGCACUGUUUUAUUAGUCAUUGUCAGACAGUGUUUGAUAACUAAAAUAUCCCCAUCUCUCUCUCUUUGCCAGUAUUAGCCAGAGGAGGAUGUCCUCCAGGAGUUUUAAAUUUUAUUUUUAAAAUAUUUUUAUACCACACUGUGGUAUCGACUUUGGUAUCGAGUAUCGUGUACUUUUGGUGUUAUCGGUACUGACUACUAGAUUUUUGGUAUCGUGACAUCGCUAGUGUGUGUGUGUGUGUGUGUGUGUGUGUGUGUGCACGAAUGUGCCCUAUGAUGGGUUGGCACCCCGUCCAGGCUGUCCCCCACCUCGUGCCCCGAGUCCCCUGGGAUAGUCUCCAGGCUCCCCUGCAACCCCGUGUAGGAUAAGCAGUACAGAAAAUGGAUGGAUGGAUGGACCUUGACCCUGUUUGGCUCAAUUCCAAAAGCAUUAUGGUUAUAUUGAUAAUCCUACAAACAUUCAACCACUUGUUCAUGAGAGAUCACAGUAGCGAGAAUCCUGAAUGGAUGGACGGUCAGACAGGUGGACAGAAAUCGUACUGAAAAAGAAAGUCGUUCUUUGCAUUAAGCACUGUUUAAAAGAAAAAUUAUCAAUCAGUCAGUAGUAUACAUGACUGCUGUGCUGUUGCAGGAAGUGGAGACUCUGGACAUUUAGCAGGAAGUGCUGGAUUCAGUAUAAUUGAUUCAUCAUUGUGCACUGAAGCGAAUGGCAGCAGUGGCCAAAUACUAGACCUUAAAUAAAAGUGCCUGGUUGCUAUGCUACCAGUAAAAUGAUGAACAGCAUUUGCAGCAGUCAGUCAAGCAGCUCUUCAACAUCUGUAACAGGAAAGACAUAUUUUCCCGUCUGUAAAUGUGAACAUGGGUUUACUCUGGACGUUCCGGUUUCCUCCCACCUCCCACCUGUACGUGUAUGCACACAUGGUACCCUGCGACGGACUGAUGGCCCAUCAAUUUGUAUAAGUGACUCAUGGGCAGUGUUCCCUGGAUAGAAACAUGGUUAUAGUAAUUAAUUAUUAUAAUACCACUGGACCAAAACAAAAUGAAAACAAGGGUCGGUGUUUCUUGGAAAUUGUAAAUGGACAGGACCUUUUCCAAUAAUACAUCACUCCACUCUACACAUGUGUUAUUAGCAUAUACUGCUGGUUGUGCCAUCAAACAGUCUUUCACAUGAGACUUUUCCUAGGAAAUGUUAUCACUGGAAAUGGCAUUUCAAGUAAUUCAACUACACUCUGAAUAAUUCUUCAGCAGUAAUUUUGCUGUCAACUGUACCAGAUGUACCAGAGGGUUAUCUGCUCUCCUAUCACAAGACGUCAGUGUCAGACUCACUGUCUGUCGAAACCUAUAAAUGAAAUACCUUAUAAGCAUCCAGCAGGACAUAAAUUGGAAGACAAACGUAUACCAAAUAAAAUUAUACAGUAAUGACGUUUUAAGUGAGUUAGGAACUCAGCUAUGGACACUAGCACAGACAGAAGAAGAAAACAGGCAGAGUGGGUAAAGCUGAAGUGCACUCGUAUAUCACUCAUGGACAUGGAUGUGUCUCAGUGCUAGGAAGUGUUGUUGGGAGGUAGCUGGAUUGCUAUGGGUGGAAAAAAUAAGCUCUGCAUCAGGAAGGAAAGGCGACUAUCCAGCUGAGACCUGAGCCCAAUCCCUGACACCAUCAGCUGCAAAAAGUGUCAAAACAGAAAGCCAAGUUAAUAAUAAGGCACCCAAAGAGACACAACACUGCUUUAAUGACAUUUAUUCAGACUUCACUCCCGAUAUAAAUAACAACCAACUGACAUUUCCCACAUUUCAGAGGUGGAUUGUUUUAGGUCAGAUUAAGUGCCUAGUCAAAUGAUCCAAAAUAAUUUUCCAUGUGUACUAUGCCAUAUAGUGACUAACUGGAGAUUCUUUACAUUUAUUUUAUUUUGGCAGACGCCCUUAACCAGCAUGACUUACAUUUAUCACAUUUAUACAUCUGAGCAGUUGGCGGUUAAGGGCCUUGCUAAAGAGCCAAACAGUGGCAGCUUGGUGGUGCUGGGGUUUAAACUUACGACCUUCCGAUCAGUAGCCCAACAUCGUAAUCACCGAGCUACCACUUGAAUAAUACAUAGUUUCCGUCUAGUUCUUAAUAAAGCAGGUAGUUUGGAACAUCUAUUCCCUUCUAUUCAGUGCAAACUAAGAUAAGAACAUUAACCCCAAAGACAACAAAGCUGCCUAAGCUAUUAUUUUUCAUCCCUGUAUGUGUAUCUAGAUGAAAUACUGUUCAAUUUCUGAGAUUCCUUAACAAUUACUACAGGAUCUAGUGAAGUGGAUCUCUUUUGUGUCUCACCGCUGCAAUCACAAUGAUGUAAAAACAGAUAUAAGAGAUAAGAGGUGCUCUGAUGUCUCCCAUGAUGGAAAUUCUGUUAAAUCUGUACAUAACAACAUUGUGUUCAUCUCAAAAGGUGCAAUCAUCUCUGUGAGCAAAAAAUCAUGACAGUUAUAUUAAAUACGACUACUAGAUACAGGUAUUACUUGGCAAACUGAACAUUUCCAGCCACUAACUGUAGGAAAAAUAGAAAAAUGAUAAAUCCAUGACCUCUCCAUCAACAGGGGAAAAGUAUUAAGGUGCACCUAUUAUGGUUUUUCAAAUAUUACCUUUCAAGUAGAGUGUUACAGAGCUGUUUGUGAAUGUAAAAACAUCUGCAAAGUUUCAAAAAACAAAGCACACGACAAACUGAAUUAUUGACUCCCAAAAGAAGGAACCGAGUCGGAAGAACUGAAACGGGUCUUUAGUAAUUCCAGAUUUACUUCCUGUACUAACCUACAUAGGUUUGUAACAAAACGCCCUGCCUCUGGUCUUGAAACUCGUUAUGGUAGUGGGCAUUUCCUUUUCCGACACACGGUGACAGCAAUAGACCAAUCACAACAGACCUGGACAUCUGACCAAUCAGAGCAGAGUAUGCGCUCUGAAAGGAGGAGUUUAGAAUGAAUCCUAUAGAACGAAUCCUUUAAUGAGUCGUUUUUGACACUGGGGGGGGGGGUAAUGCUGUGAUUUAAAUUAUGAGCACAGUAAAGUGUUUUUUGACCUUGGAUGCAUGUAAAUCUAUUGUACGAGACCUUUAAAACAAAAUUAGGCCAAAACAUUUACUCCCAUUCUAGACUGUAGAUCAAGUUUCACCUAAAAACACUGCUGUAAUGAAUGAAAUGCAGUAAGAGCCAGUUAGCACUGGCUUCAUUCCCUACUUGUUUUUAUUCAUGGCAUGCAAAAUGAUAUGAGUAUAAAAAUACUAAUGGCAUUCAAUAGCACUAUGGACUUGAGGCAUGACAUCACUCCAGAUAAGACACAAUCAAUACCCAUUAGUUAUAUAGUGCUGAGUUGAACAGUCUAGUGAAUGCAGUCCAUAAACCAGACCUACUAUAAAGCAUUACGUUUUGAGCAAAGCUAGUUUCCAUGUUUCCAUAAAACAACCAUUAUUACGCAACCUAAUAAAAGCAUGUCAUGUACACAAUGUCAAGAAAAGCAUGAUUUAAGCAUAAAAGUGCUAAUAACAGUCAAAUCCUAGUAUGGGGUUAUAAAAAAAAAAUUAAUAAUAAUUAAGAAGGUUAACCAGGUCAUCUAGGUUAACCUAACUUCAGGCAAACACUGUGUCUCAUAAUGAGAGUGAAAGCAUUAGCAGCACAGUCAGGAAAUGUUUAUUUUCUGAAGAGGAAGGGACACAGAAGCCAUUACAGUCAAUGCCAGAGGUGGAUGCUGGCUCAAAGCCCCAAUGUAAGCCAUAACCUGAGAGCUUUUCAGGAGAAUCAUCAAUCAGGUCAAAAGAUCAAUUCCCCAUGGUUUCUCCAUAGACCAUCUGACCAUUCACAGAGUCUCUAUCUAGUUCCUUUUCCAAUACACAGAGGUUUAAUGCUGAGACUCAACUGACAAUCUGCAUAAAGGUAAUCAAAGAAAAAACAGAAAAGUUUCUAAAACACAAGAUACAGCAAUGACAGAAUCUUAUUGUGCUUUCCCUAAAACAGUGCGACAUGGAACAAUGAUCCCACAGAGUAGAAGCCAUCUAGAAUUAUCUGUGAUGAACAAAAGUGGUAUUAGAAGUGACCAUCUCAUAUUCAGCUUUACAACAUUUACGGGUGCGAUUGGUCGGGUGUCCACAAACUUUUGACGGUAUCGUGUACAAGAGUGAUUCAAAUGAAAACCUCAAAAGUGUAACAAUCUGGACACUCGGUCCAGCUAAGUUCUUUUAUCUACAGCAACUGGUCGUAAGGUAGGAAUUAUGGCUGGGCAAUAUGACGAUACUAUAUUGAUAUGGUGAUAAAAUUCAUGUCUAUUGGUAAGUUAGAAGAGCUAAUCCAUGCAGAGACAUCUCUGGACAUGGAAGACAAACCCAGUGAAAAUGGGGAAAACCAACAUGAACACAAGGAGCAUGUAUGACAAGAAAAGGGCCGUAGAAUCAAACCCUGGAGCUGUGAGACACGAACAACAUUAAUAGAAACUGUGGAAUAUCCAUUUUAUUUUUUGUGGCUCAAGAGCUCAGCAGCACUAUAGGUCAGGACUGAGCUUGUCAAUCAUGGUCAUCUAGUAGAGUAGUUUAGCAGUUAUCUGUAAUUUAGCACUUAAGCUGCCUCCAGGUCGGUUUCAUCUGUUUCAAGAUGUCCUUGUAAAGUGGUCAGAAAAUCCCUAGAAAAACAGUGGGUUUUUUUUUUCAUUUAUGUCCUUCAGACAUCUGCACUGUGUCUAGUUACACUGAUGAGGAAUAUGAGGCAUAUGAGCACCAUGCCAGAGGCUAAUGCUAAUCCGUCGCCCACCCUGACUAACCAAAAGAUGUUACUCAGGUUCACAUGGCAAAAUAUAAUUAAAGCAGUUCUACCCAGGAAAUUCCAAUUAUAUGACCACUGCUAACUACUCAAAAUGCAGUCCCUUUCUGACAGUUUGAAUUUCUCUUCUACAUUUCUAGAACUUCUAAAUUGCUCAAAGAACCAUAUGGAGAAUUGCAGAGGCUGCCUUAGAGCCAAGAGCUUUAAACAUAUUCUUGAGGCUUGUAAUCUACACUUGCUGAGCACGUUAUAAGGAACACUAUACUAAUACUGGAUUGGGCCUCACUUUGCUCUCAAUACAGCCUCAUCUCUUCAUGGCAUGGAUUCCACAUGAUGAUGGAAACAUUCCUUUGAGAUUCUGGUCCAUGUUGACAUGAUUGCAUCAUGCAAUUCCUGCAGAUUUUUCAGGUGCACUUUCAUGCUGUGCAUCUGCCAUUCUACCACAUCCCAAAUGAGUUCUCUUGGAUUCAGAUCCAGUGACUGGUGCAUUUUGUGACAUGGUGCAUUAUCAUGCUGGAAGUAGCCAGUAGAAGAUGGGUAAAUUGUGUCCAUGAAGGGAAGCACAUGGUCAGCAACAUUACUCAAAUAGGUUGUGGCAUUCAAAUGAUGAUUGGUAUUAACGGGCCCAAAGUGUGCCAAGAAAGCAUUCCCCACACCAUUACACCACCUCCACCAGCUCGGACUGUUGACACAAGGCAGGUUGGGUCCAUGGAUUCAUGCUGUUGGUGCCAAAUUCUGACCCUACCAUAUGUGUGGCAACAACAAUCAUGCCAUAGUCAAAAUCACAUAAAUUUUACCCCCAUUUUGAUGAUUGAUGUGAACAUUACAUAAAGCUGUUGGUCCGUGUCUGCAUGAUUGUAUGCAUUGCAAUGCUGCAACACAUUUGGCUGAUUAGAUAAUUGCAUGAACGCAUAGGUGUACAGGUGUUCCUAAUAAAGUGCUUGGUGAAUGUAUCUCAAGGGUCAGGGUCCUACACAGGUUUGCACUUCCUCAUUGUAACAUACUUAAUGGUGAACAAAGGUUAGUGUUGCUCAGUGAAAGGAAUGGAGGAUUUGUGAAAAGUCUAUAGUCCCUACUCAAGAGUUUCUCCAUUUUCCGAAAUUACAUGCAUCCUAGUUUUAAACUGAUGGCAUGGCACAUCAUCUUCUCUCUCAUUGUGUUCUGCCAGGAGCUUCCAUGCCUGACCACUAAAUCUCUUCAGCUCUCAGCCACACCCUGAAAUCUACUGCAUAACCACCACGAGUGUGCUAGUAACUGAAAGAAAAUGUGGAGAAAAUUGGUUCCCUGAAGCAAAAAGGGAAGACAGUCCCAUCAAACACACCUGUUAUAAAACAGAUUUAUAAUAAGCAAGCUGCUAGAGGAUUAAAUCUAAACCAGACUGUAGAGUAACUGCAACUGUCUACACUUAUUUAAAGUGAAUGCUUGACUGGGAUUUAAGAAUGCCUCGUUCAGCUGUACUGUUUCAGCAAAGUGCAAAAUCAGAUACAUGUCUGUCUUAAAGAUGAGCCAAAGAGACUUGCGUGAUUUAUUCUUCACAUCACUAUUUUACAGUGUAAUGGAUGCACCAUGCCAGCAGUGAGAUAAGACUAGAUAAGACAGAUGCCAGUUCUAUUCAGCUCUAUUGCAAAAAAAAAGAACAAAAUAAUCCAUUCUUAUCAAAAUCCUAUAGGAAGCGGGAUGAUGGGUGUCAGAACUAUCUAAAAUUUUCAAUUCAUACAUUCAUCUUCAUUUUAUCUGAUCAGGGUUGCAGCGGUUGUACAGGGUGUCAGAAAAGUCUCCAUACAUAGGGGAGAAUUAACACAUUAGCAAAAAGUCUCCAAAAAUCACGGACCAACUGAGAAGUGGAUGUCCACAAACAUCCACUGACGGAGGCACAACAGUAGUGGUGCUGGCAGACAUAGUCCCCUAUGUAUGGAGACAUCUGGGACACCCUGUAGAGUCUACCCCGAGAACACUGGACAGGUAUAUGCACACCAUUUCAUUGCAGGGCACCAUGCACACACACACACACACACACACACACACACACACACACACACACACACAUUCACAAUACACUAAGGGCAAUCCAGCAUAGCCAAUCCACUGGAAACUGGAAACUGGAAGAAGCUCUCCCAGGUACAUGCAGAACAUGUGAAACCCAAGCUCAGGAUAAAACCAAGGACCCUGGAGCUGUGAGCCAGCAAUACUACCCGCGGUGCUAAUCUAAAAUUACUUACCAGGAAAUCAAUCACUGCAAUGCUUUUACUGCGAUUCAUUUUGUAUCCUAUAAUAA